rnacentral:lncRNA from 1 species
GGGAGAUAAAAUCAUUUUAUUUUUUGUUUGAACCAAACAUUAUUUGUCCAUUGACCAAAUUUGUUUUGCUUUCACCAGCUUUGAAGGAGAUAUAUAUUAUCAAAGAAUUGAUAGAAAACAGCACAGAAGCUUACUUUCUAGCUCAUCAGGCCCAAGCAUCAUGUUAGGCAUUGUCAUUACUAAAAACCAAUAAAUGUCUUCUUAUCUGAGGAUCAAUUCAAC